ACACGGGGGGCGCAAGCGUUACUCGGAAUCACUGGGCGUAAAGCGCGCGCAGGCGGGCUGAUAAGUUGGAUGUGAAAGCCUACGGCUCAACCGUAGAACUGCAUCCAAAACUGUCAGUCUAGAGUGUGGGAGAGGAAGAUGGAAUUAGUUGUGUAGGGGUAAAAUCCGUAGAGAUAACUAGGAAUACCAAAAGCGAAGGCAAUCUUCUGGAACACUACUGACGCUGAGGCGCGAAGGCGUGGGGAGCAAACAGGAUUAGAAACCCCAGUAGUCC
rnacentral:rRNA from 1 species